rnacentral:lncRNA from 1 species
UUCGGGCAGAGUUGACACGGAACAGCAGUCCCCUUGGACAGCCGAACAGAAUUCACGUGGGUCGCAUGGCCAGAAAUGACAUCUCCAAUGUUAAUGUCUUGAUAACUAAUUUACUGCAGCUAGCUAACAUUGGUGGGCAUCACUUUCUCAUGACGUACCGUUUGAUUGGCGAGAAGCACUACCGAAUCUUUAGUCAGGGGCUGAAUGUUUAGAGUUUUCCCGAUUUUUAGGACCAGAAUUUUCAAGAUUUUAUUUCCAUUGUGUCCAUAAUUUUUCACUACUAGUUGAACUUACAAAAGUUGAGUUCCCAACUUACAAAAGCAAAACUAAAAGUUGGUACAACUAAACUACAGCAAAAGAUUCCGACAAGACCCGGCCCUUCCUAUUCACUUGCCCAGGUACUCGCCUCUAUAAGGAAAACAAAUCUAAACGGUGAGCUUUCGUCCCAUGAGGUUCCAAGAAAGUCAUGCAACAAUAAUAUCAUAUUCAUGCGACAUAACCAUAGAUCACAACCAUAAUGCAAGUUCACAUUGGGUACUCGACAAUUAAGAAAUUACAUUGCCAUAUAAAAGGAUACGGGGCGUUCAAGAGCAUAUUCAACCAAUUUGAUCAGAAUUCCGCUGACACUCCAUCAACAUUUUUUUCAAAAUACUACUCCCUCCGUCCCGAAAUGAAUGUCGCACUUCGGGUCUUGAGUUUCUUUUCAACAGUGUCGCAUUUUGGUCUAAGUUCCAGCGCUACCCCUUCGGUGCGUUACUCCAUUGAGUGGCAGAAAGAAAAAGCAAGGAUGACAAGAUGUGUGGGACCC